rnacentral:lncRNA from 1 species
AAAGUUGUUUACCUUAACUGAAAAUUGUUGUGGAACCAAUUUUGUGCUUUUUUAGAGUGUUUCAUCUUUUUUUGCUUUGAGGGGGAAUGAGACACCUUCUGUAUUUUUGUUUUUUGAACUUUGGGUGAAUCGUCCACAAAAUCAUCAUCAUCGACCCUCAAGCAUCAACCCUCAAGCUUUUCCCCUUUCGCUUGCGUUGUUUGUCGGCUUCUAUUCUACACCGGUUUCAUCAACAUCCUGCAAGUGUUUUGUUCGAGUUUCAGCUCUUAUUUGUCUCGGCGAUGCAGGGACCCUUUCUUUUGCACUUGCAUGUACAGAUUGUUGUCUUUUUACUGGAGAUUUAGGUGUUAGAACACCCAAAUCAAAUGAUGGAAUAUCGGCUACUUUUUUUCGUUUGGGAGUAAUACGUUUUUUCACCAUUUUUGCCUAUGGAAAAGAUUUUUUUCACUGAAUAUGUGUUUUCUUUACAAAAAUUUGAAGAGGUUUCGGAGAUUGAAUGAUGAAAGUGAAGAGGAUGACAAUGGAGAGAAGAUAGGUUUUGGAAGAAAGAGAAAUCGGUAAAUGUAUGUAAAUAAACGUGUGGGUGGGGGUGGGUGUACUUUUUAUUGGGAAAG